rnacentral:rRNA from 1 species
CUACGGGAGGCAGCAGUUAGGAAUUUUGGGCAAUGGGCGCAAGCCUGACCCAGCAACGCCGCGUGGGUGACGAAGGCCUUCGGGUUGUAAAGCCCUUUUCUGAGGGAAGAUGAUGACGGUACCUCAGGAAGAAGCACCGGCUAACUACGUGCCAGCAGCCGCGGUA